rnacentral:rRNA from 1 species
AUUGAACGCUGGCGGCAGGCUUAACACAUGCAAGUCGAGCGGAGAUGAGGUGCUUGCACCUUAUCUUAGCGGCGGACGGGUGAGUAAUGCUUAGGAAUCUGCCUAUUAGUGGGGGACAACAUUCCGAAAGGAAUGCUAAUACCGCAUACGUCCUACGGGAGAAAGCAGGGGAUCUUCGGACCUUGCGCUAAUAGAUGAGCCUAAGUCGGAUUAGCUAGUUGGUGGGGUAAAGGCCUACCAAGGCGACGAACUGUAGCGGGUCUGAGAGGAUGAUCCGCCAGACUGGGACUGAGACACGGCCCAGACUCCGACGGGAGGCGGCAGUGCGGAAUAUUGGACAAUGGGGGGAACCCUGAUCCAGCCAUGCCGCGUGUGUGAAGAAGGCCUUAUGGUUGUAAAGCACUUUAAGCGAGGAGGAGGCUACUGAGACUAAUACUCUUGGAUAGUGGACGUUACUCGCAGAAUAAGCACCGGCUAACUCUGUGCCAGCAGCCGCAGUAA